ACCUGGCUGGCUCAGUCCAUAGAGCAUGGGCCUCUUGAUCUCAGGAUUGUGAGUUUGAGCCUCACACUGGGUG
rnacentral:tRNA from 1 species